AAAAAAGGUAAGCUAUUAAGAGCGAAUGGUGGAUGCCUUGGCUGGUAAAGGCGAUGAAGGACGUACUAGACUGCGAUAAGCUACGGGGAGCUGUCAAGAAGCUUUGAUCCGUAGAUUUCCGAAUGGGGCAACCCAGUAUAUAGAGAUAUAUACUACCAUAAUGGAGCGAACGUAGGGAAUUGAAACAUCUUAGUACCUACAGGAAAAGAAAUCAAUAGAGAUUGCGUCAGUAGCGGCGAGCGAAAGCGCAAGAGGGCAAACCCAGUGCUUGCACUGGGGGUUGUAGGACUGCAAUGUGCAAUAGGUGAGGUUAGUAGAACACUCUGGAAAGUGUAGCCAUAGAGGGUGAUAGUCCCGUAUACGAAAACCAAACCUUAGCUAGCAGUAUCCUGAGUAGGGCGGGACACGAGGAAUCCUGUCUGAAGCUGGGUCGACCACGAUCCAACCCUAAAUACUAAUACCAGACCGAUAGUGCACAAGUACCGUGAGGGAAAGGUGAAAAGAACUGAGGUGAUCAGAGUGAAAUAGAACCUGAAACCAUUUGCUUACAAUCAUUCAGAGCACUAUGUAGCAAUACAGUGUGAUGGACUGCCUUUUGCAUAAUGAGCCUGCGAGUUGUGGUGUCUGGCAAGGUUAAGCACACGCGAAGCCGUAGCGAAAGCGAGUCUGAAUAGGGCGAUUAAGUCAGAUGCUGCAGACCCGAAACGAAGUGAUCUAUCCAUGAGCAAGUUGAAGCUAGUGUAAGAACUAGUGGAGGACUGAACCGAUAGGCGUUGAAAAGCCCCCGGAUGACUUGUGGAUAGGGGUGAAAGGCCAAUCAAACUUCGUGAUAGCUGGUUCUCUCCGAAAUAUAUUUAGGUAUAGCGUUGUGUCGUAACUAAAGGGGGUAGAGCACUGAAUGGGCUAGGGCAUACACCAAUGUACCAAACCCUAUCAAACUCCGAAUACCUUUAGUGUAAUCACAGCAGUCAGGCGGCGAGUGAUAAAAUCCGUCGUCAAGAGGGAAACAACCCAGACUACCAGCUAAGGUCCCUAAAUCUUACUUAAGUGGAAAACGAUGUGAAGUUACUUAAACAACCAGGAGGUUGGCUUAGAAGCAGCCAUCCUUUAAAGAAAGCGUAAUAGCUCACUGGUCUAGUGAUUUUGCGCGGAAAAUAUAACGGGGCUAAAGUAAGUACCGAAGCUGUAGACUUGACUUUGUCAAGUGGUAGGAGAGCGUUCUAUUUGCGUCGAAGGUAUACCGGUAAGGAGUGCUGGAGCGAAUAGAAGUGAGCAUGCAGGCAUGAGUAGCGAUAAUUAAUGUGAGAAUCAUUAACGCCGUAAACCCAAGGUUUCCUACGCGAUGCUCGUCAUCGUAGGGUUAGUCGGGUCCUAAGCCGAGUCCGAAAGGGGUAGGCGAUGGCAAAUUGGUUAAUAUUCCAAUACCAACAUUAGUGUGCGAUGGAAGGACGCUUAGGGCUAAGCAUUGCUAGCGGAUGGAAGUGCUAGUUGAAAGUCGUAGGAGCUUAUAUAGGCAAAUCCGUAUAAGAAUACUCCGAGAACCUAUAAGCUUUUUGAAGUCUUCGGAUGGAUAAGAGUAAUGCUGAUGCCGUCGAGCCAAGAAAAGUUUCUAAGUUUAGCUAAUGUUGCCCGUACCGUAAACCGACACAGGUGGGUGGGAUGAGUAUUCUAAGGCGCGUGGAAGAACUCUCUUUAAGGAACUCUGCAAAAUAGCACCGUAUCUUCGGUAUAAGGUGUGGUUCGCUUUGUAUUAGGAUUUACUCCGAAAGCAAAGAAACUUACAACAAAGAGUCCCUCCCGACUGUUUACCAAAAACACAGCACUCUGCUAACUCGUAAGAGGAUGUAUAGGGUGUGACGCCUGCCCGGUGCUCGAAGGUUAAUUGAUGGGGUUAGCAUUAGCGAAGCUCUUGAUCGAAGCCCGAGUAAACGGCGGCCGUAACUAUAACGGUCCUAAGGUAGCGAAAUUCCUUGUCGGUUAAAUACCGACCUGCAUGAAUGGCGUAACGAGAUGGGAGCUGUCUCAAAGAGGGAUCCAGUGAAAUUGUAGUGGAGGUGAAAAUUCCUCCUACCCGCGGCAAGACGGAAAGACCCCGUGGACCUUUACUACAGCUUGACACUGCUAUUUGGAUAAGAAUGUGCAGGAUAGGUGGGAGGCUUUGAGUAUAUGACGCCAGUUGUAUAUGAGCCGUUGUUGAGAUACCACUCUUUCUUAUUUGGGUAGCUAACCAGCUUGAGUUAUCCUCAAGUGGGACAAUGUCUGGUGGGUAGUUUGACUGGGGCGGUCGCCUCCCAAAUAAUAACGGAGGCUUACAAAGGUUGGCUCAGAACGGUUGGAAAUCGUUCGUAGAGUAUAAAGGUAUAAGCCAGCUUAACUGCAAGACAUACAAGUCAAGCAGGGACGAAAGUCGGUCUUAGUGAUCCGGUGGUUCUGUGUGGAAGGGCCAUCGCUCAAAGGAUAAAAGGUACCCCGGGGAUAACAGGCUGAUCUCCCCCAAGAGCUCACAUCGACGGGGAGGUUUGGCACCUCGAUGUCGGCUCAUCGCAUCCUGGGGCUGGAGCAGGUCCCAAGGGUAUGGCUGUUCGCCAUUUAAAGCGGUACGCGAGCUGGGUUCAGAACGUCGUGAGACAGUUCGGUCCCUAUCUGCCGUGGGCGUAAGAAGAUUGAAGAGAUUUGACCCUAGUACGAGAGGACCGGGUUGAACAAACCACUGGUGUAGCUGUUGUUCUGCCAAGAGCAUCGCAGCGUAGCUAAGUUUGGAACGGAUAAACGCUGAAAGCAUCUAAGCGUGAAGCCAACUCUAAGAUGAAUCUUCUCUAAGCUCUCUAGAAGACUACUAGUUUGAUAGGCUGGGUGUGUAAUGGAUGAAAGUCCUUUAGCUGACCAGUACUAAUAGAGCGUUUGGCUUAUCUUAUUUAAGCAU
rnacentral:rRNA from 1 species